CAAGUCGAGCGGCAGCGCGGGGCAACCUGGCGGCGAGCGGCGAACGGGUGAGUAAUGCAUCGGAACAUGUCCAAGUCGUGGGGGAUAGCCCGGCGAAAGCCGGAUUAAUACCGCAUACGCCCGAGAGGGGAAAGCGGGGGACCGCAAGGCCUCGCGCGAUUGGGUUGGCCGAUGUCCGAUUAGCUAGUUGGCGGGGUAAAGGCCCACCAAGGCGAUGAUCGGUAGCUGGUCUGAGAGGAUGAUCAGCCACACUGGGACUGAGACACGGCCCAGACUCCUACGGGAGGCAGCAGUGGGGAAUUUUGGACAAUGGGGGAAACCCUGAUCCAGCCAUUCCGCGUGAGUGAAGAAGGCCUUCGGGUUGUAAAGCUCUUUUGUCCGGAGCGAAAAGGUCACGGUGAAUAUCCGUGACUACUGACGGUACCGGAAGAAUAAGCACCGGCUAACUACGUGCCAGCAGCCGCGGUAAUACGUAGGGUGCGAGCGUUAAUCGGAAUUACUGGGCGUAAAGCGUGCGCAGGCGGUUUUGCAAGCCGGAUGUGAAAUCCCCGGGCUCAACCUGGGAAUGGCAUUUGGGACUGCAAGGCUCGAGUGCGGCAGAGGAGACUGGAAUUCCUGGUGUAGCAGUGAAAUGCGUAGAUAUCAGGAGGAAUACCGAUGGCGAAGGCAGGUCUCUGGGCUGACACUGACGCUCAUGCACGAAAGCGUGGGGAGCAAACAGGAUUAGAUACCCUGGUAGUCCACGCCCUAAACGAUGUCGACUGGUUGUUGGGGGUUUGACACUCUCAGUAACGAAGCUACGCGUGAAGUCGACCGCCUGGGGAGUACGGCCGCCAGGUUAAACUC
rnacentral:rRNA from 1 species